GAUGAACGCUAGCGGCAGGCCUAACACAUGCAAGUCGAGGGAGAGGUUAUCUUCGGGUAACCAAAACCGGCGCACGGGUGCGCAACGCGUAUACAAUCUGCCUUUCACAUAGGGAUAGCCCGAAGAAAUUUGGAUUAAUACCUAAUGGUAUAUAGGAGCGGCAUCGUUUUUAUAUUAAAGCUACGGUGGUGAAAGAUGAGUAUGCGUUCUAUUAGCUAGUUGGAGAGGUAACGGCUCCCCAAGGCGACGAUAGAUAGGGGUUCUGAGAGGGAUGUCCCCCACUCUGGUACUGAUAUACGGACCAGACUCCUACGGGAGGCAGCAGUGUGGAAUAUUGGACAAUGGUCGGAAGACUGAUCCAUCCUUGCCGCGUGCAGGAUGAAGGUCCUAUGGAUUGUAAACUGCUUUUGCAGGAAAAUAAUGGGU
rnacentral:rRNA from 1 species